UUGCAUUUCCUAACCUCUUGUCCUUGAUUUUUAACAGCUUGCUGGACCUGGAUGCCUAUGUUUAGGUUUCAAAGACAGCAUGUUUAAAAUUAAUCUAGUCCAUUUGCUUAGUGUGUGGGGCUCUUUGUCUUUGCUUGAAGACUUUCAGUGGUGUGGAACUCUGAACUUCUCAAGCAAUUCAUUUUUAAAAUGAUAGUAUACUCUACAUACAAUGAUAUGCACAUUUCUUCUGUCUUCUGUGUUUCAGUUUGGACAGUCAUGUACACCCAUGUAAUUAUCACUGAAAGAAGAUUCAAAGUAUUUCCAUCACCCCAGAAAAUAUACUCACACCAUACCACUUUCCAUGCAAUAUUCCACACCUGGAGCAGCCCCUUUACAUCUUCUAUCAUCUAAUGACAAUUUUACCUGCUCUAGAAUUUCAUAUAAAUGGAAUAAAAGGAAUGUGCUGGAGAAUAGGAGCAGAAGAUGGCAACCAGGACACCAGAAACUUGAUGUUCCGCUUUGGGAGAACUCAUACGUGGCACCAUUCCUAUAAAAUGAGGAAAAUAGCUUUGAAGAUGAUGAUCUACUUCCAUCAUGAACAUUCUACCAAGCGUGAGUAUGGCAUCUAUGGCACCCUCAGCUACAUUUAAUCAUUCAACUCUUCUGCACACGCUGCGCCCCAGCCAUACCAAACAAGCUAAACCAAAAGAUCUGGAUUAUCCACAUCACUAUACCUUUCAUAUGCUCAUCUUACCUUCUUUGUUCAUCUCAUUGAAGAAACAAGGAAAAGUCAUUUACCAGUUCUGACACUUCACCUCUUCUGCUCCCAUACCCACCCCAGCAGCACAUCUGUUGUAGGUGCACAGGCCUCUGCAAUAGAACCUAUUAUCUUGCAUUACAAUUGUUAGUUCCUAUGCCUGAUUUCCUUAUUCAAAUAGAGGAUAAGGGGAAAAAAAUCUUGUCUUCUAGAAUGGCUUGCACAUUGUCUGGUCCUUGGAAGUUUCUCAAUACGUUUUUUUUUUACCAUAAGUGAG
rnacentral:lncRNA from 1 species